UACGGAGGGUGCAAGCGUUGUCCGGAAUCACUGGGCGUAAAGGGCGCGUAGGCGGCUCAUGAAGGCUGUGGUGAAAGUCCGGGGCUCAACCUCGGAUCGGCCGUGGCGACUCGUGGGCUGGAGCACUGUAGAGGCGGGUGGAAAUUCCGGGUGUAGCGGUGGAAUGCGUAGAGAUCCGGAAGAACACCAGUGGCGAAGGCGGCCCGCUGGGCAGUGGCUGACGCUGAGGCGCGACAGC
rnacentral:rRNA from 1 species